CUCCAAAAGAUCUCUGAAUGUAAUCACUCUGAUAGACUCUUCCUCUGAGUGUCACUCCGUCUUUAGAUCCUGAUUGUCACACAGAUAACACCGCAGACUCGCUGAUUCACGACCUCUCUGACUCCGUGUUUUCUCUGCGGUCCGCCAAAACUUCGACCUCUGUCACAGGUCGAUUGGAGGCUCUCAUCAGAAGAGCGUCGGGAUUAGCAUUAACCAAUCGAUUCCUCUGUCAAGUGCUGCCGAGUGUUUGGACGGAUCCACUCGACUUUAUUGUGCGCCGGUCUUUCAGGGGACGGCGGUGGUCUUGACCUUAGAGAGGAGGGCUUGUGAGAAAAACCAGAGGACUGUGAAAACCGACAGCAUCUCCCUCAGUUUGGUGAGAAAGUAUCUGCAUUAUGACGUUUUGACAGAACUUCUAGAUUUUACGUAAAGUCACUUUAUGUGUCUGUUGACAGUUUCUUUACUGAAACCCCCAAUUUCCACCGCAUCUGGAACGGCUAUGGAAAGGCUGUAUCUGCUGAUCGUAUCCAUUCAAGUUAAUGUGUCAAUUUAUAUGGUUAGCCUCUGUGGGUUCUUGUGAGUUCUCGCGAUUCCUGCUGUCCGUAAUCCACCACGAAAUUCACAGCACAAACGGAUCCAGUAGGAAUUGGCGUACGGCGAAAAAUUGCCGCCGUUCCGGAUCGGAGCUGUUCCAGAUAGUAUUUACUCGCUUCAUUCCCACCUCAAUGGUAAUUUCAACGGUAAUUCCUGCCAAUUCAACUCGCGAGAUCAAGUAAUAGACAAAGGUUUUUUUUAUCACUUACCAGGUAGCCCGACCUCUUCUCUCACUUUUCUCCAGGCGACCUCCUUUUGAUUCCAGAUAUUGCUCAAGUUGAGAUUCGCCCAAUUUGUGUCAUUUGCGCCGCCAGAGUCGUGGGAGGUGGACUAAUCGUGCCUUUGCAUUGACUUAACAUGUAAUUCAUUCAUAAAAAUAAUUUUACUCAUGCUUGGUGUGUUAAAACCAAAGCCGACCAAAAGCAUAAGCGAACUAAGCGUCUGCUUAGGGCCCUGAAACCAGUAGGGGGCCCCAAGAGCAACCCCCCCCCAAAAAAUUAAUAUUUUGAUUCUUUGCAUGUAUGAGUGAUGCUUUAUGUAUGAUCAUAUAUUUUAUUAUAAAAAUAAAAUUAAGUAAAAACAUUUUAGUGCUGCUGCUGAUGUAGGCCUAUGAUUCUUACUGACGAUAUGUCAAAGCUCUGCUACCAUUAUGUGCCUCCUGCCUCCAAAGCACAGGAAGUUAUGGGUUAAAACAAUGUCACAAAAAAGGACGUAUCCUUCAGGAGCAGAGAAAAGAAAGAGGAAGAAGAGAAAAAACGGCAAGAUAAAGGUAUGUCAUGGAAUGUUAAUCAAAGAGAUUUGUGAAGGUGUGUGACUGAUCAACAAUCAAUAUUAUUGGCAGAAAUAGUAGGCCCCAAAAUCUAAUUUUGCUCGGGGCCCCAUUAAGGCUUGGACCGGCUCUGAUGGCGACAGUUAGAAUCUUGUAGGAAUGAGUGAUUUUGCACGAUUCUUGGGUCGAGCUUUUUGACGUUUCUGGAAAAUUUCAGGAGUUUGAAAGUGUCGUGUCCGUCCAUCUCUCCUCUAAUUGCUCCUGACCACCUAUUUAUUUUUGUCCUGCCAAACUUCAUUAUUCUCCCUCCUAACAUUUACGUUUGAUUCCAGCUCCCGGUGCCACUCAGACGCCAGAUUUUCAUUUAUAAGACACCAAAUUUAAUCAAUAUCAGAGGAAUGAAAUUGAACUUGACUCCUGGUGAUGACGGUCGACUGAUAUCUCCUCCGCUCUCUCAACACCGUCUGACUGUAGCGCACCUGUGGUUGCCCCGUCACUGUAUGAUGUGUACCAGGUUAUGACAAGCAGAUGUUCGGCUCAACGGCGUACACCAAAGCGCCCGGCUCAGACAGACUGCUUAUUUUUACCCCGGCGAUGUCACAGAGCUGAAUGGUCGCUUCAAACGGCGGCUGCUUUUACUUCUAUUUCUGUACCGACAUCAGAAAGUAAACGCGGCACAGAUGUAUCUCUCUCCUGCUGAUCUGAGCGACAGAAUAAGGCUAGUACAGGAGCAGGCAACAAUGAGAGCGACCAAACACCGAGGGGAGGAGUGUGUUUGUGUGUGUGUGUGAGAGAGAGCUGGAUGGAUAGGAGGCCAUCUGUCCUGGCCUAUUACCUCCGUCACAGGUGGGCCUUUUCCACACUUUCACACUCAUACACAGAAAAGUCUGAUUGACGUCGAAAGAGACGACGCUCUUUUAAUCGUGGACUGUGUUUGUUUAGAGAUAUUGCAUUUUGACGUGAGGGAGGACUUGGUGAAGGGGACAGAGUGGUGGCGCACAAAGAUGACACGACAGAUGGUUGAUUGGAGAUUAUCACCAUGGGUGGAAACACCAGGCAGCCAAUUAGAUAAAGAGAAAGUGACGCACAGGCGACGGGAAGACCAAUCAGACUUCUCAGACUUGAUUAUGUGUUCCAGAGUCGAAGAUUUGAGCUUGUAAAUCCGUCAUAAAUAAACGUGCCGCGGAUCUGCCAAAAACAAAUGUCACCAAACAAACAAACUUUCUGCAGGAAUAAACAACAAGGACGCUGACGGCCAACCGUGUAAGAAUGCGAGGUCGAAAAGAUGUUUUGAAGGCCAGUUUGAGAUGAUUUGAGCGUUGUGACAUGGUGCAUUAUCCUGCUGGAAGUAGAUACUGUGGUCAUCAAGGGAUGGACACGGUCAGCAAUAAUACCCAGGUCGGCUUUGGAGUUUAAACGAUGCUCAGUUGGUACUAAGGGACCAAAGUGUGCCAAGAAAAUACCCCACACACUACAACAACAACUGCAGCAGCCUGACCUGUUGAUACAAGACAGGAUGGAUCCACGCUGUCAUGUUGGUUACGCCAAAUUCAGACCCCACUAUUGAGACUCAUCGGAUCUCUAUACUUGUGUUUGCCCGCUCUAUACUGCUAAUUUAUGUCUUUGAGUAAUUUUAGAUUUUCCUAAAUUGUUCUUGUUCUUGGCCUGGACAGAGAUUUUAUAAAGGUAAAUAGAGAAUGAGCAUCAGAAACUCUCAGCGGCAGCAGUUGUGUCAUUGAAGGGAUAUUCCGGCGUAAAUUUAGGGUCAAACAGAUCGUAACACCGAGUUAGACACCCCCUUGAGAGGUGAAUGUUGCCGACCGCUUGCUUCUCUAGUUAUACCAACUUUAGUAAUGACCACAUGAUAGCAAUACACAGCGGUCUGAGGAGCCGUAAACAAACCUCAAUUAAAAUGCCACCAAUAACGCUCAGAACAGCACCUAACUUCAUCAACAGGACAUACAGGGUCCCAGUCAUAGUACUAGCCACCAAACAUCUUUUUAACUUUGCCUGAUUUCUUUAGCAAAGAGACUAAACACAACUUACCUACUCUCUUCCAGCAGCCACUUGUUUGUAGCGAACAUUUAGGAUCAUUUCUUUAUCCUUUCCUUGAAGUAAUAAUCACCGUAUUAAUCAUUUUGCGCUGCAGACGCGGUAGUUCUUCUGCCUUAGCGUCUCGGUCUGAUUGUAUUUCCAUGAAGAAAUGAUCAUAAAUGUUCUUCCUUGAGCUGCGUAACCCCUCUGCAGUCUGUAAUGGACUGGCCUGAGGUCUCGCUACAAACAAGCGGCUGCUGGAAGAGAGUAGGUGAGUUGUGUUUAGUCUCUCUGCUAAAGAUGUUUGGUGUCUAGUACUAUGUCUGGGACCCUACAUGUCCUGUUGAUGAAGUUAGGUGCUGUUCUGAGUAUUAUUUGUGGCUAUAGAGUGGCGUUUUGGUUGAGGUUUGUGUAUGGCUCCUCAGACCGCUGUGUAUUGCUAUCAUGCGGUCGUUACUAAAGUUGGUAAAACUAGAGAGGCAAGCGGUCGGCAACAUUCAUCUCUCGAGGGGGUGUCUAACUCUGUGUUACGGUGUGUUCAAUAGAAAACAUUAAACAUAAAUAUUAUCCAGGGUUGCUUCAGUCUGGGCGUAAAGUGAUAAAUCCAUCAGUUAAAUAUCAAGCUGCGGCUGUUAGCGCCCCCUACAGAUCAGGAGAGUGUCUGAUACAUCGCCUGGUUUUGUUUUGUUGUAUUGUUUUUGAUCCUGACUCUGCAUGGUGGAUGAGUUUGCACCUUGUUUGUGGUGACUGUUUCUGUUGUUGGCUCUUGUUCUCCAUAAAGCAGAAAAACACCCUCUCUGUGCGUCCGCAUGCUACGAUACAUGUUUGUGUGUUUAUCAGUCCAAACCUGUGGAGGUGUGCAGAAGCUUCUAUUAGCUCCAGCCUGCAGACUUAAUAAACACUUUUAAGAGCUUAUUAUGGCUGAGACCUCCGGGACGCUCUUCAAACAGUGAUAAAAUGACAGUAGAGUGUGUGUGUGUGGGAAAGAUGGUGAGGGAGGCUGACAAGAGGAAAACAACUAAAGAGACAGUUACAGACUCAGACUGAAAGACAAAGAUAGAGGCAGAAUGUAAGAUGAGUCACACGCAAAACAAACAGAGAGGAAUAAAAGAGCGCAGCAGCAGCAGCAGCAGCAGCGAGACAGAAAUGAAAAUAGAGACUCACUUUGACAAAAAAAGAAAACAUCAAAACGAUCCUCGAACUUUCCUUUCAAGCUCCCCUGUUUUCACUCCUCUUACAGUGUCGUCUCUCAUCUCAUUUUUCUUUUUGUCUCAGCAAAAGUACCGACUCACUGUUUUCCCACAGCCUGUGGCUCUACAGUGUGCGCCGCUGCUGUCAUCCUGCUGAAUAGCUGUGACGCUCUUUAGCACGGUUAUCAUUUUGCUUUAAAAUAGAAACAAUAAGCUCAGCUGACAGGUUUUAUUCGGGACGUCUCUCCUCCUUUGAAUAUUACACUGCUGCGAAGAAUGGCUGAUCCUGAUUGGUUAAUUUGUCAGCCUGCAGUCUGUUAUUUUUGAAUAGCAGACUGCUGUUAGCACAAGGGACUAAUGGUCAACAGAUAUCAGUUUUUAAAUACCAAUAAUGUGAACGCAGGUGGGCCAAGAGUGAGGAGGAAAAACAUAUUUCUAACAGGUAGAAUAGGGUGACCAUAUUCUGACUUCAGGACACGGGUCGCACCUUUUAUGAUUGAGACGGGUUGAGUCUUUUACACGCUUCUAACUCAGUAAGUCUAAGUGACACAAACUCAAAACUUUUGUACAAAACUGCAGACAUUUGAAGGAUUUUAUAAACUCCCCCGGACAAAUCUGGACAGCCCCUCAAAAAGAGGACAUAUCCGGGUAAAAGAGGCAUCCUAAGGUAGAAACCUUUAGCAGAACCAGACUCAUGUUAGAUCUGGAAACAGAAAGAUGGACAGAAGUGAGAUUGAAGGAGGUGGGUCUACGGCCAAAAACAUCAGCGAUCCAGAGGAACCUACAGCAUGAUGGAGCUCAGGGACUCUAAGAAAAGACUGUAUUAGUGACCCUAACUGGACAACCUGGCAACCAUGGGGAGCAGAGCUUUCAGUCACUCUGCUCCCUAGUUCUGGAAUUCCCUUCCUCCUUCCCUUCGCAACACAACAUCUCUCAGUUUGUUCAAAUUCCGAGUCAAAACAUUCCUGCUCAGACCUGCUUACUCCAUCUGACCUACAGCUCUGUCUCCCCUCCUUUAUUUUAAUGUAUUGUAAUGUUUUAUAUGAUGCUUUAAUGUAUUCUAUUGUAUUUGGUUUUAAUGUAUUUUUAAUGUUAUUUUAAAUUUUGAUCAUUUAUUUGUUAAUGUUCUGUAUUCUAUGCAUAUUGUAAGGCGACCUUGAGUGCCUUGAAAGGUGCCCUAACAAAUAAAACGUAUUAUUAUUAUAAUGAAGAUUCAAAGUUAAUAAUACAGACAGAAAGAGGAUGGAGAUGGAGGGAAACCUCACCUUGUGUUUAUAGUAAGAGACAGUAGUAUCCAUAAAACAGAAAAGACGAAGAAGCAGCAGCAGCCAGCUAGCAAACUAGCUGUAGCAGCCCCAAAAAAACACUUGAAUCUAAAACAUUAUGUGCCUCUUUAGAGGUGCUAACAUGUCGGCCGUUUACUUUCAAACCAUUCAAACUGUGAUCUACCAAAAGUACCAUACAUGUCCUUUCAAAAUAAAUGUUUUACAAUACAGGAAAGCAAGUAAAAAUGUCAAAAUAAAAGUAUCACUAAUCCUUUUUUACAGGUUAACAAAAAUUAAGUUACAAAUUAUUAAAACUAAACUAAAUAGUGAUAGAAAAGUUAUAUGUCAAUAAAACAAGGUGAGAGAGAGAAAUACAAGACAGCGAAGGAUGAAGACGGACGGCAGAUGUGAGUUUAAUGAGGAGAAGAAAAGAGGACACUGAGUCAUCCUCAGGCAGGGAGAUCCUCCUCUGCGGAGCCUAAACUCACCCAUGGAUGAUUUCAAACACAAAUAUACGACAAAAAGAAAACACAAACACAAACAGUCGGUGGGUUAAUGCACACGUAUCAGCUCGCACACGUCUGUUUUACUCCCAACAAGGCUUCUCUAGUAACCACGACUCACCAGGAGGUCAGCGCCGAAGCUGGAGACUCCUUAAGCGCACAAAACCAGCUCUGCUUUUUUUUUGACACAAAAAGGAGAGGAGGUAAUUGAGUGUAAAGGCUCAGUUCGGAAGGGAGCCAAUUAGUUUCAACAUGGAGGAAACAGGAUUUGUCAGUAAAAGUGUGAAGGGCAGACGGAGAGAGCAAGAGGAGCAGUGAGAGGGAAGGGUUUAUGCUAAUACGUGUCUCAGUGCUGCUGCUGCUCCUCGUCCUGGUUAUCUCGGGCCUGGAGGAGGCAAACCUGAGAGCAGAACCCACUUGUGACCCCCUGAGAAGCACUUUGGCUGACACCGGGAUGAUUGACUGCUCCACAGCUAAAAAAAUAUGCAAAUGAGUUGAACUUCUCCACAGUGUGUGGUUCAAACUUAACUUGGACGAAAUUGGAUGAUUAGCUUUGGAGAUAAAAGAAGAACAGAGAUCUUUAGAUUGAAUUAGUACGACGGAGUAUUAGGGCCGCAUAAAGAAAAAUAUUUAAGAUUUAGUAAUUACUUACGAGAAUAAAGUCGUAGGAAAAUCAUUGGUUGCAAGAAUAAAGUCGUAAAGUAACUAAAGUCUUAAAGCUCCUUUUGUGGAGGAGGAAAUGUCUGAACUGGUCAACUGCAGAGUUAUCAGUGGAGCAUCAGUGGGUCAUUCAGACCGCGUCUGUCUCUGAUGCUGGCACAACACCGGCAGCAACCUCCACCUUCAGAGGCACCAACACCUUAUGGCGUAUAGAUUCAUACGAUAAACUAAAACCAUAUGCUAUUGCUUUAAACGGCUGCAUUGAGGGAUUUAUCCUCUGCACAGACAUUUCCAGCCAUUUCCCCCUCCUCAAAAACAGCGAUUCCCUAUAAGUCCUCCUGGUUCGUUCUGUGGAAAAGAUGCAUUUCUUGCUUAUGUCCUGAUACUUAUGACAAUGUGAUGCUGAAACACCAAAGGAUUUAGUAUCUCCUUGUUUGUGAAACCUGAGGUUCAAUUCAUCUAAAUGCUCCACAGCGCUCAUUUGAACAACUAACAACAUGUUAGAAUAGACAUUAGCUAUGACUUUGUUCUCAUAAGUAAUUAUUUUAUUACGGCUUUAUUCUCAUAAGUAAUUACAUAAUCACAACUUUAUUUUCGUAAAUUAUUAUUUAAUGACGACUUUACUCUCAUGAUUACUUUAUUAUGACUUAAUUCUCGUAAAAAAAAAAUUAUUACGACUUUAUUCUCAUAAGUAAUUAAUUUAUAAUGACUUUAUUUUGUAAAUAAUGAUUUUAUUAUUACUUUAUUCUUGCAAGUUAAUAUUUUAUUACGACUUUAUUCAAGUAAUAACUUUAAUACGACUUUAUUCUCGUAAAUAAUGAUUCUGUUACGACUUUAUAUUGAUAAGAAAUUAUAUUAUUAGGACUUUAUUCUCAUAAGUUAUGAUUUAAUUAUGACUUUAUUCUCGUAAGUAAAUACGAAGUCUUACAUUUUUUUCUUAAUGUUGCCCAAAUACUCCAACGUAAAUUAGAGCAGUUUUUAAUUUUUUGUAUUUAACUUGACGGUGAAAAAUAAAAGCAUGAAUGUUGUGAGAAAAAGCAGCUUCUUGUCCUCAGAGGCCACCAUACUUCACAGCAGGAUGUUUAAAAAGAAAAGGUGAAUUUUUUUGUCUACAGAUGUUUUUGCCCUCUGUUGUUUUUCAGCCUGUUCUCAAACAGUCGUAUCAAUAAAUCUUUUACCUUCCAGUCAAAAUGUGACUGAUUGAGGCCAGACUGAGAGCAGCUCUUCAGUCUAAUUAAGAUACCGGGCUGAUUACAGACUCGUCUGAUGAGGCUGUUCAUUAUGUCGGCGCAGGGUGAGAGCUUUUUCACCAGCAGGAGACGAUCUUUGAUAUCAUUGAACCACACCAGAUACUUACAAGCUAAAUGGGGCUUAAUGGGGCCCAUUUUCAGUCUUUGAUCCCUCCAAGAAAAAUACCAUCAACAAGUUCUGGUGCCUCCUACUCAUCUGCGUUUGCUAUUCUGUGUUUUUUUUUUCAACCUCCCAUAUCUUCCUGGAUUGAAAGACGAAGCUGCCAGGCUUCCUUUCCUCUCCUCCUCCUCCUACUCCCUCUUUUCUUUUCUUCUCUUUUUUCUCGUCUCACCCGAUCUGUCAGUGAGUGUCUCCCAGCCAUCACUCUGUCUGACAGACGGACUAUCUCUGAGUCGUCACUCACUCCUCUGCCUCUCCGCAGCCGUCAUCUCCAGCCGGCAGGGACUCCCCUCUGCUGCACAGCCGUCACACUGCAAAUGAGGAGAGGCCCCCGUUUUCUGCUCACACAGGGGAGGCAUGAGAGGGAUAUUUCAGCUGAUUAAAAAGGCUGCCUCCUCACAUGGUCAUUAGCAUCACUAUCAGAGGUUUUAAUGUGAUUCUAAUAGUCAGGAUGAGCGUUGACCUUGAGUCUGGAGAGUUCGCUCUGCUUUAAUCAGAUGUUGCGCACGCUCACAGCUAGAAUUCUGUUUGAGAGUUUUUUGGUGUAAAAUGAAUUUAGCAAAGGUUGAGCAAAAUUCCUCCACUCUAUAGUAAUUUGUCUUGUUUAGAUAUUAACGCCUCAUUCCCUCUCAUGUGAUUGUAUGAUACCUUUAGUGUCCAAUAUAAGGAGGUGAAUUCUUUGACAUGUGGAUAGAAACCAAAGAAUCCAAUCUAAUGUAGCUCCAGAGAAUAUCGGAUUUCCUAUGAUUUUAACCAUGUUAUAGCAAAAUAACAGUACUCACAUUCAGAAUGUGCUAUAACUUAAUAACAUGCUCUUUUCAAACUCACCAACAAGAAAGGCAAAUGAGAUUAAGAAAAUAGUCUUCCUAAUUCCUUUUUAAUCGAAUUAUCUCACCAGACGACCAAAUAGCCUGUUAGUGAGUUAGCUGCCUGUUAGCUUGACAUGCCAAGUGUCACUGCUUCUCAAGAACAGACCACAGACGUCCAAUUUUUUUUGGUAUAUUCUCAAAUUACACUACACAGAACAGGAUUAGGAUUAAUAUUUUUGAAUUGAAUUUUUUUCUCAGAAAAAAAAAAAAAUAUUCUGAGAUCAGAGUCAGAGUACUGACUUAAAACAAAGAAUUCUGGGUUUGAUCUUGAAAGUUCUGUCUUUGACCUCAAAAUUCUGAAUUUUAUCUUUAAAAUUUUAACUUUUAUCUUCAACAUUCUGAAUUUAAGUGGAAAAUUCUGAAUUGUAUCUUAAAAAUUUUAACUUUUAUUUUCAACAUUCUGAAUUUCAGCGGAAAAUUCUAAAUUUUAUCUUAAAAAAUCUGACUUUGAUCUUUGAAAUUCUAACUUUUAUGUUCGACAUUCUGACUGAUUGGAAAAUUAAAACUUUUCAUUUAAAAUCUGACUUGGCGUUUCAAAUUCCAACUUUUAUCUUCAACAUUCUGACUUUGAGCGGAAAAUUCUGAAUUUUAGCUUUAAAAAUCUGACUUUGAUCUUUAAAAUUAAAACUUUUUUAGUCUAAAAUCUGACUUUGAUGUUUGAAAUUCUAACUUUUAUCUUUAACAUUCUGACUUUGAUCUUAAAAUUCCGACUUUAAUCCCCAAAUCUCAGAUUUCUGAGGAACACAGAUCCAUAACAGAACUGACUUGACCUCUGUUCAGUUUAAAGAAAAAAACAGAGGUGCUCUCAUUAAAUACACCACUACCGUUCGCCAUCGCUGACCCUACACACAGUUGUAUAAAAUUGGCUUUCCAGCCAUGUUUCUGCCUGCAGGUGAUGACACUCAUGGUGAUAUCUGAAGGGGAUUAUAGGCUGGAGGAGUUUGCUAAAAUAUGCCAGUGGUAUGUCCCUCAGAGGCGAUUUUCUGCUCGGAGGGAGGCUGUCAAAUUGAGACGUGAUAUUACUUCUUCAUGGGAUGACAGAUGGCUGUACGGUGUGAGAAAACACAAGUACAAGAGAGGUGUGUGAGUUUAGGCAAGCGUGAAUGUGUUUGGGUUUCAAUCUCAGUGAGGACCCAUCGGCCAUCAAAGGUGGAAAUUUUUGUGUGUCUUUUUCUUCGUUUUUUUUACCUUAACAGUUGGUAGGGUCUUGGAGGAAAAAUGUAAUCCUAACAGGGAGACAGGAUGCUGAAAAAUAAACAGAUUUCAAUGUAGUAGAAGAUCAGUGCAUCACUGUGUCUGUUUCACUUGUAAACCCACUGCACUUGAGAGAGUAAUGUACUUACAGACGCAGCUUACUGUAGUCAAGGUUACUCUAAAUAUAUCUCCCUGACUUCAUUUCUUAUUUUGCAUUUUUCCACCUGUCUCUUUUUGUUUUCUGUCACUUUAAUGUCCUCCUCUUUCUCUGUCUGCUCUGUAUGUUUCACUGCUUCUAGUUUCUACGAUGGAAACAAAGAUGAUACGGCGCCGGUUGCGGCUCUCUUUUGAACAACGAGCGAAAGAGUGGCUGUAAAUAAUAGGCCCACACUCACUAAACAGAUGACGGUUGUUUGGCGUGUUGUUUGAAGUGGCAUCAAGUGCAGUUUCCAGAGCAAACAUUCAACACUGCUGCUCACACAGAUGCUCAAAGUGACCUUGGUGCGUCUGUGUAUCCUCACAGAACGAUGUUUGGAUGUGUCUGAGCUUUUAUCUAUUUGUUUUUGUCGGAUGUAACCGAGUCUGCAGAUAAAAAAACAGCGGAUAGAUCAUAUUAACUCGCCCGUAUGUCUGUAUGAUGUGCAGGCAGGAGAGUAAUGGAACAUAUAUGGUCAUUAAACACACUUUAUUAAGUGUUGUGAAUUUUUAUGGCACGAGUUUUACCAUCAAUCAAAGCAGCUUACUAUUUCAUUAAGCCGUGUAUUGUAUAUGAAACCAUUAUGAGCUAUAGAGUGUUCUCCAGAGCUUCCAUCAAUACACCGCCACCCACACAGCCCACGCCUCACUAUAUCCAAUGAACUAUGUUUAGUGUAAUUGCAAAUGUAACAUGGAAGUAUAGUGGAAAAUGUUUUUUUUUUUAAUGGAUCACUGAUAGUUAUAUCAGUAAAACAGGUGCAGAUAAAAGCACGUUUUAAAAAAUGCAUGUUUUCUAUGUUAUAUGCAAUUUGAGUUUACUGCAGAGGUGGGGGAAAGUCCUCACGUUGCAAGUCCAAGUCGAGUCUCAAGUCUUUGCUCUCAAGUCCGAGGCAAGUCCAAGUCCUUUGCUCUCAAGUCUUGAGUCAAGUCCAAGUAAACACAGACAAGUCCCAAGUCAAGUCCAAGUCCUGAACUUUUUGUUUCGAGUCCCAACCAAGUCCUUACCGUUUCUUUCAAGUCAAAAACAAGUCAUAUCAAAGCCAUAAACCAUUUGUUAUUUGUAAAGAUUUACAUAAAUCUUUGAGCAUUUUUCACUAUUUGCAUUUAUUAUUAAACAAGCAAUCUUGUUUGUGUUAAGUUACAUAGUGCAGCUUUAACCAAACUAUUUUACAUGUCAUACAAAAAAUAAUCAAAUAAACUUUAAUAAUUGGAAACUUAGACAAAAAUAAGGAAGACUCAAAUACAAUUAAACAUUAAACUGAUACUCUAAUUCACUGUUCCACGUGGAAACAGGCGGGCAAUACUAGCGAGUGAUUUAUGUUCAGUCCUCCCGGUGUUGUCGUUAUGAGGGAGGCUAGAGUUUGAGACAGUGUUGCCAAGUUUUGUGAGAGAAAUAAGGAAACAGACCUCCAGAAACAAGCCAAAAACAAGUUGUUUUUUUUUGCGUUAAAUAAGCAGACUUGGAAACACAACACGGUGUUACCAACGGCCGUAAUUCCUGACUAUAGUUGAUGCGACACUUUUUAAACGGUUUGGACUUGCUGUAAGGUAUUAAGUGACUUGAAAAGACUUGACUUGACUUUUCAAGUCACUGGGCUCAAGUCAAGUCAAGUCUCAAGUCUUUAGCAAUCAAGUCCCAAGAUAGUCCAAGUCAUUUCUUGAUCAUCAAGCAAGUCAAAAACCGGACUCAAGUCCAAGUCGAGUCUCGAGUCGAGUCGUCAAGCCCCCACCUCUGGUAAUUGCAAAAGUAACGUGGAGGUAUAGUGGAAAAUGUUUUUUUUAUUUGAUGGUUAUAUCAGAUGCAGAUAAAUGCAUGUAUUCUAUGUCAUAUGUAUUUUAGUUUACUGUGUUUCACUCAGAGUCUGCUCAGAUAUUAAGGAUGUGUGGUCUGUACGCAAAAUUUUACCUCCUUCACACACACACAGAUAUGUGUUAAUGGUUUUCAUAAUGACCACCAUUAGUUAUCCGCAUCUGUCUCCUCGCCGUGUUCCUCCACAGAUCCCAGACCAGCAGCCCCGCGUUGACAUUGAG